AUCACAUGCACUUGUUGUUUUACUACGAAAAGGAUAACCAGAGCCACUUCUUGCACUGCAUGCAAACCUCAUAACCUCCCAAAUCUUUGUUUCCCUAUCAUCAAAAUGGCCACCACAGCCACAAAACUCCGUCGUUUCCUCCCCCUCUUCCCCAUCUUUCUUUGUCUCUUUUCCCUCUUCAUCAUCCCUUCUCAUUCCUCCUUAGACUCUUUCAUCUACGGUGGCUGUUCUCAGAUAAAAUACACCCCAGACUCGCCCUACGAGUCAAAUCUAAACUCACUCCUCACUUCCCUGGUUAACUCAGCCACUUAUGCAGCUUACAACAAAUAUUCCGUCACGGGUUCGAGCCCACAAGAUGUUGUCUACGGGCUGUAUCAAUGCAGGGGCGAUUUAUCCAUGCCUGAUUGUGCCACAUGUGUGACUCGGGCAGUGAGUCAAUUCGGUGGCUUGUGUCCGCAGACUUGUGGCGGAGCUCUGCAGUUACAAGGGUGCUUCGUCAAGUACGAUAACAGUAGCUUUAUUGGCCAAGAAGAUAAGACUGUCGUGAUGAAGAAAUGUGGACCGUCCAAUGGUUUUGAUACUGAUGCAAUGAACCGUCGUGAUGCGGUUUUGGGGAGCUUGGGUUCGGCUGGUGGGCUGUACAGAGUUGGUGGGGCUCAGGAUAUUCAAGGGGUAGCGCAAUGCGUCGGGGAUUUGAGUAUGGGACAGUGUCAAGAUUGUUUAUCAGAGGCAAUCAAGCGGUUGAAAACUGAGUGUGGAGGAGCUGUUUUUGGUGAUAUGUUUUUGGGGAAAUGUUAUGCUAGAUAUUCUACUAGUGGAGAUCAUCCUUAUGCAGCAAGAUCUGGUCAUGUGGUAUUACGCAACUUGCAAGUAAUUUUUGGACAAUCUUCUCUUAUUUGAUAUUACAGAAUCUUCUCACAGCGAUUCUGAGAAGACAUUUGCAAUUAUUAUUGGACUAUUAGCUGGUGUAGCUCUAAUUAUCAUAUUAGCAACUUUCAUGAGAAGAACGUUUGGUGAAAAUGGUAAAUAAAUAACCAUAGAUCCCUCUUGCCAAAGUAACCUGGAAUUAACCAAGAAUUUCAAGAAUAUUUCUUCCCCGACUUAUUUUUUUGAAAGCCCUUUUUGCCUUUUUCUUUUGCUGUUGCCCUUCACCUGCGUUUCUGUUUGGGGAUUUGCUUUAUGCUUCUAUGCGAAAGGAGUUACAGAUCGUGGAUGAAAUCAAGACGGAAAAGAUGCCUCUAGAUUCUAGGGAUAUGUGUACUCUGAAAGCAAAAUUCAAGUUAAAGAUGGUUAAAAGAGGGAUGCCAAGAUUCCACCCUUUUCUCCACUUCAACAAAGUUGUAUCGUCUAAUGUUAAAAAGUGGCAUAUUCUUUUGUAAAGGAGCAAAUGGCAUAGUCUGUAUGGUGCUUUUCAUCCUUUUAUCGUUCAAUUGUCACAGCAAUUUUUUUUU